AUGUCUCAGGAUAGGAAACUCAAAUUAUGUGCUCCAGAUAUGCACAAAGUUUUUGAGUUUCCUUGUGGACGUACAAAUAUUCAUGGUAUUGAUGCUCAGACAACUGCUUCUAUUGACUUCUUGAAGAAAAAUAUAGGUAUGGUUGGAAAUGAUUCUCACGGUUUGAAGGCAGCAGAAAAUUUCUUAGCCAGAGAUAUAAUUGAGUUAUCAAGUAAAGCUAAAAACGCAUGCUUUAAGGCAGCAUGUGUUAUAUUUUUUAUGGGCCAUUUGGGGACACCUUCUUUUAAAGAUGACCACAUUAUUGUUGAUUAUCUGGGAGCUCUGUGUAGGACCGAUUACAUAGAAUAA
rnacentral:rRNA from 1 species